AAUUUCAAUCUCUGGCUCAAUUGUCGUUCUUGUUUCCAUAUUCCUGAUUUAUCCACUAGGACAAUCCAGUUAGCUCUUUGUGCUGAGUUUUGUCACAUCAACGAUAUUUCAAUUCAUCCUAUUCUUCAUAAUUUAACGUUGAACCCAUUUCAUAUAAUGGGAGUUUCCAGAGCUUUCGCCCCAGUUUGCU
rnacentral:sRNA from 1 species